GUCCACAAGGUCUCUCUUCUGGGUCACGAGAGUGCCAUGAUUCGAUAUCCCAUGGUCGGCAAGGUCUCUCUUCUGUGUCACGAGAGGAGAGUGCCAUGAUUUGAAGAAGGAAAGGCGAGCGACCCACCAAAUAAAGGUGAGCACAUGAAGGGACCUCCCACUUAUGAUUACGCAUGAAAUCAAGGCCAAGUUAGUUGAGAUGGGAAUUUUUUUUUUUUUUUUCUUAUUUAUUUUCCUUGGGUCUUUGUGAAGUAGUUUCUAGCUCUUAUUUAAACCCCCGACCACCACCUCCACCUCCACCUCCACCUCCAUGAAUAAAUCAUACCCACAACAAUGAAGCCCAUAACUAAAUCCCUUGUCUUCCUUUGCUUCUUUCUCUCGUUAAUUUUGAUGCAGACAGCUGCUGAUUUUUGGAAUUCCGGCGAAAAUUCUGGCAAAGUGAGGGAUUAUCAUAGCGAGAUGGCGAAGAAAAAAGAGUGGAGGAACCAUGGAAGCUGGCGAGGAAGGCGAGAGCGUCUCGUUACAAAGGGUUACACAAAUGUUCGUCAAGUCCGAAAGCUGCUAGGACAUAUUUUUUAUUGAAGAGAUUGCUCUUCACCAUGUGUUAAUGUUCAAAAAAAAAAAGAAGAGAUUGCUCUUCACUCUCUCUCUCUCACACACAUGCCUAAACUUUGGGAAUUUGAGAGUUUAUGAAUCUGAUCAUUGAAAGUUACUGUAAUGAAGCUCUCUCUCUCUCAAUUCACAGGUAGAGACAAUACUAGGCAGGUCAACCCACCUACAUGACAACUUUGCCACAGUUCUUUUACUGGUCUAGAGUUCUAUGAAGUUUACUGCUGGAGCUUUGUGCUGGGCUUGAUCCUACAUAGAAAGCAGAACUUACCGUGAUGUCUGACUUAGAAGAUGACUGGAGUUUUGUAAUGAAUGGCCUUUACUGUGAAUAGAAACAUGACUACCAUCUCCGGAUUAAAAUAUGAAGACGGUUUCUGCAGAAAGUUGAGACAAUCACAUUUUCUUGAAGUUCAGUACCCUCGUCUUGAAUUAAAUGCAUGGAAAAUGUCAUGGUUAAACCAAUUCAAAAAAUCAAUG
rnacentral:lncRNA from 1 species